CAUUUGUUCCUCCCAAUGUCGGUCAGUAUCCUGUUGGAACCAUAACAGCGAACACGGGCUUACGAUGCUUUAGGCGGGCCAAGAAAUGUGGGCCCCGUCGAAGGGAGUAAGACACCGGUCGCGCAGCAGGGAUGAUGGUGUUGGAGAAGGAAGAGGGGAUGAGAGGGGACGAGGAGGGCGGCCGGCUGCCGGUUGCACGCAUCCGGCGCGUGGGGCCACCAACAUCGCGGUGGAUACCGGGAAACCGGAUGCUAAGGAGUAGGUAUUCCGAGAAGGAAAGGAAUCGACGCCCCCGCACUUGAUAUUUGUACCCCACCUUGGUUCCGCGGAUGAGACGAGGGAUGCUACACGAGGCGAACCAUCCUCUCCGUGGCAACAAAAAGAUGCGGGUGUGACGAUAACAGUCACCAGAAACAAAGAAGAAUAAAAGGGAGCAGCAGUAGCGGCAGAGGCAGAGCAAGCCGGCUUCGCGGUGGAAACGAGAAACGUGCGGCGAAGACUGUGCUUGGGCGGAGACUCCGGAAAACUAUAAGCGACCGACACCAUACCACACACCGUAGCGUGGGAACUGGGUGUUCAUCGGAGAAGAGGAGGAAGGCGUUGCGUUCGCCGGGGUGGGUGGUGGUGGACAAGGGGAGACGGCCUGGCAGGAGCAGGGCGGCUGGGGUCGUGCCCCGCGAGCCGGCGGCGGAGGUUAGGGGCCAAGGUCAUGUCUUGGUGGCGCAGGAAGGUGGUCUUCCCCGUCAGGCGAGCUUGGCUCGCCGUCUCCUUCCGCGUCAAGUCUCGAAAACACGGUGGAGGAAUUCUCAAGCUCUACGAUGAUGUGCAGAUGUGUGGAUACGAAGAUGUGCAGGUCAUGUGGGAGAUACUGACCAAGUCGGAGAUGGAGACAUCAAACGGGAUGCCGAAGCAGCGCAGGCGAUCGCUCUGGCGAGUCUCAUCUUGGUAUAGCAGAUCAACCGCCGCUUCUGCUCCCAUCCAAGCUUACGAGUGAAACAGUCAGUACCUGAGAGAUCAAACCAAGCAUAGAUUAGGAUUAGGAUUAGGAUUAGGAUUGGUUCUUCUUCCAUGAUUCCCAGUCUCAUAAGAUCACAAUUAAGGUAUUUGAUAGCUGUAUAGUUUGUCACAAACCUCGUGUACUUGCUGCUGCUGCUGCUACAUGUGCAUACCAAACUCGGAAACCUCUCCCCUCAGUUGCAUGAGGUGGAAGAAGAGUUUUAUGGCUGUCAUUAAUUGCACCACCUGCUAUUGAUCUA